rnacentral:lncRNA from 1 species
ACUCCUGCUCCUAAGAGUGUAGACAAAGUCCUGUUGAGGAUGAUCAUAACUUACGAGCAAGCACCAGGCUUGCAUCUGGUUCAACCGUCCUUGGCAACCAGCUAUGGAAGGACUCUUUCACCUCCUCCUCCACCAAUGCCAGCAUCACCAACUCACUAUCAUGAAGCAAGCCAUGGAGUCGAGCAAACGCCAGGCUUACAUCUGGUUCAACCGUCCUUGGCAACCAGCUAUGGAAGGACUCUUUCACCUCCUCCUCCACCAAUGCCAGCAUCACCAACUCACUAUCAUGAAGCAAGCCAUGGAGUCGAGCCAACGCCAGGCUUACAUCUGGUUCAACCGUCCUUGGCAACCAGCUAUGGAAGGACUCUUUCACCUCCUCCUCCACCAAUGCCAGCAUCACCAACUCACUAUCAUGAAGCAAGCCAUGGAGUCGAGCAAACGCCAGGCUUACAUCUGGUUCAACCGUCCUUGGCAACCAGCUAUGGAAGGACUCCUUCACCUCCUCCUUCACCAAAGCCAGCAUCACCAACUCACUAUCAUGAAGCAAGACAUGGAGUCUAUGAAUCACCUCCAAAUCCCUUCCUAGCCUCAAGCUAAAGCUUGUUCUGACUGAUCAAAGGUGUGGACGGUGAAUAUGCAUGAAGAUCUUCUAGUCUAAGUUCUAGUAUUACUUGUAGUAGCCGCUUGAAGCAAUAAAGUCUUUUCUGCUGCUUGUGCUUUUCCCUUAUAAAUGUAACUUCCACUAU